AAUCAACGCUGGCGGCGUGCCUAACACAUGCAAGUCGAACGCGAAAGCCCUUUCGGGGGUAAGUAGAGUGGCGUCCGGGUGAGUAACGACGUAGGUAAUCUACCUUCGGGUGGGAAGUAACUCGCCGAAAGGCGAGCUAAUACCGCAUAAUGCAGCGGCACCUAAUGGUGAUUAGUUGUUAAAGCGGGGAUCGUAAGACCUCGCGCCUGAAGAGGAGCCUGCGGCAGAUUAGCUAGNGGUGAGGUAAUGGCUCACCAA
rnacentral:rRNA from 1 species